AACGAACGCUGGCGGCGUGUUUAAGACAUGCAAGUCGCACGGGAUAAGACAUGUAGUAAUACUUGUUUUACUUAGUGGCGCACGGGUGAGUAACGCGUGAAUUACAUGCCCUAUAGUGGGGAAUAGCCCAGGGAAACUUGGAUUAAUACCCCAUGGUAUCGAAAGAUUAAAGGUGGCCGCAAGGCUGUCGCUAUAGGAUUGGUUCGCGCCCUAUCAGCUUGUUGGUGAGGUAACGGCUCACCAAGGCAAUGACGGGUACCUGGUCUGAGAGGACGAUCAGGCACACUGGAACUGAGACACGGUCCAGACACCUACGGGUGGCAGCAGUCGAGAAUAAUUCACAAUGGGGGCAACCCUGAUGGUGCAACGCCGCGUGGAGGAUGACGGUCUUCGGAUUGUAAACUCCUGUCAUCUGGGAGAAAGACCUGACGGUAAAUAGCCGGCAGGGUUGAUAGUACCAGAAGAGGAAGGGACGGCUAACUUCGUGCCAGCAGCCGCCGUAA
rnacentral:rRNA from 1 species